UGAGGGCCCUUUGGGUCCAACCUCCCACCCGUGUUUAUUUACCUCGUUGCUUCGGCGGGCCCGCCUUAACUGGCCGCCGGGGGGCUCACGCCCCCGGGCCCGCGCCCGCCGAAGACACCCCCGAACUCUGCCUGAAGAUUGGCGUCUGAGUGAAAAUAUAAAUUAUUUAAAACUUUCAACAACGGAUCUCUUGGUUCCGGCAUCGAUGAAGAACGCAGCGAAAUGCGAUACCUAAUGUGAAUUGCAAAUUCAGUGAAUCAUCGAGUCUUUGAACGCACAUUGCGCCCCCUGGUAUUCCGGGGGGCAUGCCUGUCCCAGCGUCAUUGCUGCCCUCAAGCCCGGCUUGUGUGUUGGGCCCCGUCCUCCGAUUCCGGGGGACGGGCCCGAAAGGCAGCGGCGGCACCGCGUCCGGUCCUCGAGCGUAUGGGGCUUUGUCACCCGCUCUGUAGGCCCGGCCGGCGCUUGCCGAUCAACCCAAAUUUUUAUCCAGGUUGACCUCGGAUCAGGUAGGGAUACCCGCUGAACUUAAGCAUAUCAAUAAGCGGAGGAAAAGACCAACAGGGAUUGCCCUUCGAGUGAACCUCUCCCGCUGUUUAUUUGAACCUCGGUGCUUCCGGGGGCCGCCUUACUGGGGCCCAGAGGAUGC
rnacentral:rRNA from 1 species